rfam:Schistosoma mansoni, Puerto Rico, WGS project CABG01000000 data, contig: 0179
UCACUGCCGAAGAGUCCCAUACUAGGACGAAACGGUCGUCCUGUGC